rnacentral:rRNA from 1 species
AAUCUGGUUUGAUAGUACGCUGCCAGUAGUCAUAUGCUGUCUCUCAAAGAUUAAGCCAUGCAUGUCUAAGUACAAACCUUAAUACGGUGAAACGCGAAAUGGCUCAUUAAAUCAGCUAAUGGUUCCUUAGAAUCGUCUCAUCCUACUCGGAUAACUGUGGAAAAUCUAGAGCUAAUACGUGCUUACAAGCCCUGACCUCACGGGAGGGGCGCGCAUUUAUUAGAUCAAAACCAAUCGGGGGCUUGUGCCCCGUCUGCUUUGGUGACUCUGGAUAACUUUUGUGUGCUGAUCGCAUGGCCUCUGGCGCUGGCGACGUAUCUUUUCAAGUGUCUGCCCUAUCAACUUACGAUGGUAGGUGAUAUGCCUACCAUGGUUUAUAACGGGUAACGGGGAAUCAGGGUUCGAUUCCGGAGAGGGAGCCUGAGAAACGGCUACCACAUCUAAGGAAGGCAGCAGGCGCGCAAAAUUACCACUCCCGGCACGGGGAGGUAGUGACCGAAAAAUAACGAUACGGACUCUUUUGAGGCCCCGUAAUUGGAAUGAGUACACUUUUAAAUCCGUUAACAAAGUAUCUAUUGGAGGGCAAGUCUGGUGCCAGCAGCCGCGGUAAUUCCAGCUCAAUAGCGUAUAUUAAUGUUGUGGGGCUGACCUGCAGUUAAAAAAGCUCGUAGUUUGGAAUCUGAGGACUUCGAAUUGGGGUGCACCAUACGGUGUUACUGCCAUUGAUUCGGCCUACCUAGUCGUGCUGCGUCUCUUGGUGUUCUUAAAUUGAAUGGCCCUGAGUGCCCGGCAAGUUUACUUUGAAAAAAAUUAGAGUGCUCAAAGCAGGCCAUUAGCCGGAAUACUUCAGCAUGGAAUAAUGAAUAGGACUUCGGUUCUAUUUGUUGGUUUUCGGAACCCGAGGUAAUGAUUAAGAGAGACAGAACGGGGCAUUCGUACUGCGGUGUUAGAGGUGAAAUUCGCUUUGGAUCGAUUGCCCGCAAGACGAAACAACUGCGAAAGCAUUUUGCCAAGAAUGUUUUCAUUAAUCAAGGAACGAAAGUCAGAAAGUCAGAGUUUCGAAGACAUCUACGGGCGCAGUUAGCUGGACCAUAAACGAUGCCAACUGGGCCAAGGCAUCCGAUCGAUUACCGUCCUAGUUUACGCCAUAAUACGAUGCCAACCUGGCCGAAUCCGAGAUGCGUUUGCUUUACGGCCUCGGCCGGCAAGCCUCCGGGAAACCAAAGUUUUUAGGUUCCGGGGGAAGUAUGGUUGCAAAGCUGGAACUGGGGCAAAAAAAAAGUGGCAAGGCAUUGCGAUCUGCGUUCCUGUCAAGGGUAAAAGAACCUGAAGGUCAGCUCUGAUCCCUAUGCUGUGGAAGGGCGAACAGCUGCCCAUGGUUAAAAGCAUAGAUGACUUUAUCAGUUACCUUGGUGUCAAAGUAUCGUGUGACUGGUAGGUUAUUUGGUCGGUGGAUCAGCUGAGGCUAUGGCUAGGACAGGGUCAUGAAAGCACCCUUUGAAGCCAGACCAAAAGAUCAAGGGGAUUAAAGAGGGUUCUAAUCGGUAGGGCUGACAUACCAACUCAGGCUAAAACGAAGCGCGUGUCUGCGAGUUGAGAAGCGAGUAACUAGAAUGGUCCGUAAAGCAUGCGUAAACAGAUCCUACACAUGCAGUUAGGUGCGCCUAAUGCGUGGGCCCACUUACCUGCUUCGUAAAUGCGCGGCCUCGGGCUACCUGACUUUGAGCUCACAAUUCCGCUAAUGCGCCGUGCCGCCUGCGAGAAAAUGAAAAAGCUCACCGGACCCAGUUGUUGCCAACAUAAGUGAAAAAAUUUCCAACGCUAUGAAAGUGGAACUCACUCGUGACUAGAUGUCAGAGCCGCUAAGAGGGCGAUUCAGGAUAAAUAUGAGGCAGGCCUAUUUGAGCAGCCAAAGAGGGAAGCUCAUGAAUGCCAAGGUGGAUAAGUGCGGUUAAGCCUUACUGGCUACAUGGCGGUACUGGUGUUGUUAAGGCGGGUGAAUACGUGUCGAUCAAUAAGUUAGUAACAAGAACUAUUGAGACGCGACAAUUCAUCCCACCCAGGAGUUACAGACUUUGAGACCCUGAAAUGCCGUCGGUGUGGAAAGGCCGGUAGAAACUGACCUACAUGUAUUGAAUGAAUGCCCGUUUACCAGAGACUCUCGCCCAGUGCCGCCGCCGCGCGCACAAUUUUAUUGCGGAUUAUCUGGGCAAGGUCUUGGUGGACCACGGCUGGGAAGUCUGGCGCGAAAGGCUUGUUCAAGAAAGAUCUAGAGAACUUUAAAGCCCGACCUAAUCUGUAGGAAGGGUGCCGAAGGAGCGAUCAUAGACGUCACUGUCCUACCCUAUGAAUCGAAUGAAGCCUGUGUUACAAUCCAAGGAACGCGUUCAAAGAGGCAAAAUAUGCAGGUCUGAAGGGUCAAGUCGCUGAGCUUUUGAACAUUAACGGCGGCGUUAAAGUCGUUUGGAAUCGCUGUCGGUGCCUUGGGCACGAUUUCUAACAUCAACUCUCGAGAAAGCGAAAGGACUCGGACUAGAUCCAGUCAAGGUUGGGAAAUCACUGCAGAUUUCAGCUCUCGGCGGGGUUCAGGCCAUGUUUUGGAAGGCCUUCCGGAGUUAAGGCCCACGCCUAGUGCCACCGUGCCACGUCUUUUUGACACUAGCGCUUACGCUAGGCCAAGGAUUAGGGUCAUUAUAUGAGCCUAAGUGGGAAAAAAAUAAAGGAAUUGACGGAAGGGCAGCCACCAGGAGUGGAGAGCCUGCGGCUUAAUUUGACUCAACACGGGGGAAAAACUCACCCGGCCCCGCGCUGACACUGUUAGGAUUUGACAGAUUGAGAGCAAGUUCUUUCUUGAUUCGGUUGGGUGUGGUGCAUGGCCGUUCUUAGUUGGUGGAGCGAUUUGUCUGGUUGUUAAUUCCGAUAACGAACGAGACUUCUAGCCUGCUAAAUUAGUACGCCGAUACCUUUUCGGUCGGUGCGCUGACUUUCUUUAGAGGGACAAGCGUCUUGAAGACGCACGAGAUUGAGCAAUAACAGGGUCUGUGAUGCCCUGUAGAUGUUCGGGGGCCGCACGCGCGGCGCUACACUGAAGGGAGCCAGCGAGUUUUUUCCUGGUUUUCGAAAGAACCGGGUAAUAAUCUGUUGAAUUCCCUUUCGUGACAGGGAUCGCGGGGCUUGCAAUUAUUCCCCGUGAACGCGAGGACAUUCCCAGCAGUAAGCCGCAAGUCAUCAGCUUGCGUUGAUUACUACGGUCCCUGUACCACCUUUGUACACACGCCCUCGUCGUACUACCGAUUGAAUGGUGGUUUUUAAGCACAGAUGGUCCUUCGGAUUCUGGUGUUGCCGACUUGGUGGCAACACUAGGUCGGAUACUUACUGAAAAGAAGAUCAAACUUGAUCAUUUAGAGGAAGUAAAAAGUCGUAACAAGCUGUUUUCCGUAGGCUGAACCUGCGGAAGGAUCAUUA